rnacentral:rRNA from 1 species
GACGAACGCUGGCGGCGUGCUUAACACAUGCAAGUCGAACGAAGAGCGAUGGACGCUUGCUUCUAUCAAUCUUAGUGGCGAACGGGUGAGUAACGCGUAAUCAACCUGCCCUUCAGAGGGGGACAACAGUUGGAAACGACUGCUAAUACCGCAUACGAUCUAAUCUCGGCAUCGAGGAUAGAUGAAAGGUGGCCUCUACAUGUAAGCUAUCACUGAAGGAGGGGAUUGCGUCUGAUUAGCUAGUUGGAGGGGUAACGGCCCACCAAGGCGAUGAUCAGUAGCCGGUCUGAGAGGAUGAACGGCCACAUUGGGACUGAGACACGGCCCAGACUCCUACGGGAGGCAGCAGUGGGGAAUCUUCCGCAAUGGACGAAAGUCUGACGGAGCAACGCCGCGUGAGUGAUGACGGCCUUCGGGUUGUAAAGCUCUGUUAAUCGGGACGAAAGGCCUUCUUGCGAAUAGUGAGAAGGAUUGACGGUACCGUAAUAGAAAGCCACGGCUAACUACGUG